AUUGAACGCUGGCGGCAGGCCUAACACAUGCAAGUCGAGCGGGGUUUUCGGACCUAGCGGCGGACGGGUGAGUAAUGCGUAGGAAGCUACCCGGUAGAGGGGGAUACCAGUUGGAAACGACUGUUAAUACCGCAUAAUGUCUACGGACCAAAGUGUGGGACCUUCGGGCCACAUGCUAUCGGAUGCGCCUACGUGGGAUUAGCUAGUUGGUGAGGUAAUGGCUCACCAAGGCGACGAUCCCUAGCUGGUUUGAGAGGAUGAUCAGCCACACUGGAACUGAGACACGGUCCAGACUCCUACGGGAGGCAGCAGUGGGGAAUAUUGGACAAUGGGCGCAAGCCUGGUCCAGCCAUGCCGCGUGUGUGGAGAAGGCCUUCGGGUUGUAAAGCACUUUCAGUAGGGAGGAAGCGUUGUGUGUUAAUAGUACACAGCGUUGACGUUACCUACAGAAGAAGCACCGGCUAACUCUGUGCCAGCCGCCGCAGUAAGAC
rnacentral:rRNA from 1 species